AUGGCGGCGCCCGGGGACCCGCGGCGGCCCUACCGGCUGGCGCAGGAGGGCCGGCUGUGCGCCCUGCGGGAGGAGCUGCGGGGAGCCGGGCGCGCGAGCUGCCCGGGGCCCGCCGGGGACACCCUGCUGCACUGCGCCGCCCGUCACGGCCAUCGGGACGUGCUGGCCUACCUGGUGGAGUCCUGGGACAUGGACAUCGAGGCCGCCAACCGGGACUACAAGCGGCCUCUGCACGAGGCUGCCUCCAUGGGCCACCGGGACUGCGUGCGAUACCUGCUGGGCAGAGGAGCCGCGGUGGACUGCCUCAAGAAGGCCGACUGGACCCCACUGAUGAUGGCCUGCACAAGGAGGAAUCUCGAGGUGAUCCAGGACCUUGUGGAACAUGGCGCUAAUCCACUUCUCAAGAACAAAGACGGCUGGAACAGUGUCCACGUUGCCAGCCGAGAGGGGGACCCUGUGAUCCUCCAGUACUUGCUCACUGUUUGCCCAGACGCCUGGAAGACGGAGAGCAAGAUCGGGAGAACCCCCCUGCACACGGCAGCAAUGCAUGGCUGUUUAGAGGCAGUAAAGGUGCUUCUACAGAGGGGCCAGUACCAACCAGACUGCAGGGACAGGUGUGGCUCCACACCCUUCAUGGACGCGCUUCAGUGUGGCCACAUCGACGUAGCCAGGCUGCUGCUGGAAAAGCAUCAGGCCAGCGCGUCUGCCCAGGAUUCCCUGGGGGCGCAGGCCAUCCACAGGGCAGCGCUCACUGGGCAGAACGAAGCCAUCCGCUUCUUGGUCUGUGAACUCGGCACGGACGUGGACGUGAGAGCAGCAUCAGGCCACCUCACUGCACUGCACUACGCGGCGAAGGAAGGACACGUGAGCACAGUCCAGAUGCUCUUAGCCUUGGGUGCCGACAUCAACUGUAAAGACGCAAGAAAUCGAUCAGAACACGGGAUCCUGGGGCUCAUGAUGCCAGAAACCUUCAGUGCUAGCUUUCCAAGGGAAGCCCUGCACCUGGCCUGCGCAGGCCAGCACGCAGCUUGCGUCGAGCUCCUUCUGCGGUCCGGGCUGAGGGACUCUCGGGACGACACAGGUGCCCUGGCUCAGCAGCUCGCGUGCGGCACGGACACCCUUCAGUGCUUCGACCACAGCGCGGCGUCCUGAGGGCAUUUCUGAGGAGGACAGCAAAACGCAUGGUGAUUCACAUCCUGCUUGGGGAGUUCAGUGAAGUCGAGAGAGAGCACGUGCGAUACAGAGAUAGAGGACGAGAGAGAAUCCCGAGCGGGCUCCGCGCUGAUAGCUCGGGGCUUGAUCCCUCAAACCGCGACCCGAGCCAACAUCAAGAGCUGGCCGCUGAACUGACUAAGCCACCCAGGCACCCCUGCCUGUUUACUUUCUUCUUUCAUAGGCUUUUUCUUGGCCAUGACAUUGGUUUCACUUUGGUUUUAGAGCCAGGAAGGAGAUGCUUCCAACCUGCUUACACGGACAUUUGGGAGGAAAUAAUGAAAAUGUUUCUAUAUUCUGUGCACUGCUAGUUAAGCUAUGACAUUUUAAUCUUGAGGUUAUUUUUAUUAGGUUCUGUGUUGGCUUCUUUCGGGUAAUAAAUACACCUAAAAAAAAUGCA